GUACACUCCUGCGGGAGGCAGCAGUGGGGAAUAUUGCACAAUGGGCGCAAGCCUGAUGCAGCGACGCCGCGUGGGGGAUGAAGGCCUUCGGGUUGUAAACUCCUUUCGCUAGGGACGAAGCUUUUUUGUGACGGUACCUAGAUAAGAAGCACCGGCUAACUACGUGCCAGCAGCCGCGGUAAUACGUAGGGUGCGAGCGUUGUCCGGAAUUACUGGGCGUAAAGGGCUCGUAGGUGGUUUGUCGCGUCGUCUGUGAAAUUCUGGGGCUUAACUCCGGGCGUGCAGGCGAUACGGGCAUAACUUGAGUGCUGUAGGGGUAACUGGAAUUCCUGGUGUAGCGGUGAAAUGCGCAGAUAUCAGGAGGAACACCGAUGGCGAAGGCAGGUUACUGGGCAGUUACUGACGCUGAGGAGCGAAAGCAUGGGUAGCGAACAGGAUUAGAUACCCUGGUAGUCCCA
rnacentral:rRNA from 1 species